rnacentral:rRNA from 1 species
AGUGGCGGACGGGUGAGUAACGCGUGAGAAUCUGCCUUGGGGUCGGGGACAACCACUGGAAACGGUGGCUAAUACCGGAUAAGCCGAUUGGUGAAAGAUUUAUUGCCCGAAGAGGAGCUCGCGUCUGAUUAGCUAGUUGGUGAGGUAAGAGCUCACCAAGGCAGCGAUCAGUAGCUCCUGAGAGGACGAUCAGCCACACUGGGACUGAGACACGGCCCAGACUCCUACGGGAGGCAGCAGUGGGGAAUUUUCCGCAAUGGGCGAAAGCCUGACGGAGCAAGACCGCGUGAGGGAGGAAGGCUCUUGGGUUGUAAACCUCUUUUCUCAGGGAAGAAGCUCUGACGGUACCUGAGGAAUCAGCCUCGGCUAACUCCGUGCCAGCAGCCGCGGUAAUACGGAGGAGGCAAGCGUUAUCCGGAAUUAUUGGGCGUAAAGCGUCCGCAGGUGGCGAUUCAAGUCUGCUGUCAAAGCACGGGGCUUAACUCCGUAAAGGCAGUGGAAACUGAAUAGCUAGAGUGCCGUAGGGGUAGAGGGAAUUCCCGGUGUAGCGGUGAAAUGCGUAGAGAUCGGGAAGAACAUCGGUGGCGAAAGCGCUCUACUGGACGGCAACUGACACUCAGGGACGAAAGCUAGGGGAGCGAAUGGGAUUAGAUACCCC